rnacentral:rRNA from 1 species
GACGAACGCUGGCGGCGUGCCUAAUACAUGCAAGUAGAACGCUGAAGGAGGAGCUUGCUCUUCUGGAUGAGUUGCGAACGGGUGAGUAACGCGUAGGUAACCUGCCUGGUAGCGGGGGAUAACUAUUGGAAACGAUAGCUAAUACCGCAUAAGAGUAGAUGUUGCAUGACAUUUACUUAAAAGGUGCAAUUGCAUCACUACCAGAUGGACCUGCGUUGUAUUAGCUAGUUGGUGGGGUAACGGCUUACCAAGGCGACGAUACAUAGCCGACCUGAGAGGGUGAUCGGCCACACUGGGACUGAGACACGGCCCAGACUCCUACGGGAGGCAGCAGUAGGGACUCUUCGGCAAUGGACGGAAGUCUGACCGAGCAACGCCGCGUGAGUGAAGAAGGUUUUCGGAUCGUAAAGCUCUGUUGUAAGAGAAGAACGAGUGUGAGAGUGGAAAGUUCACACUGUGACGGUAUCUUACCAGAAAGGGACGGCUAACUACGUG